rnacentral:rRNA from 1 species
AGCUACAGGCUUAACACAUGCAAGUCGAGGGGCAUCAUGAAUCAAGCUUGCUUGAUUUGAUGGCGACCGGCGCACGGGUGCGUAACGCGUAUCCAACCUUCCCGUUACUCUGGGAUAGCCUUCCGAAAGGGAGAUUAAUACCGGAUGGUGUUUCAAGUUCGCAUGUAAUUGAAACUAAAGAUUUAUCGGUAACGGAUGGGGAUGCGUGACAUUAGAUAGUAGGCGGGGUAACGGCCCACCUAGUCUACGAUGUCUAGGGGUUCUGAGAGGAAGAUCCCCCACACUGGAACUGAGACACGGUCCAGACUCCUACGGGAGGCAGCAGUGAGGAAUAUUGGUCAAUGGUCGGGAGACUGAACCAGCCAAGUAGCGUGAAGGAUGAAGGUUCUAUGGAUUGUAAACUUCUUUUAUACGGGAAUAACACCAUCUACGUGUAGAUGUCUGCAUGUACCGUAUGAAUAAGCAUCGGCUAACUCCGUGCCAGCAGCCGCGGUAAUACGGAGGAUGCGAGCGUUAUCCGGAUUUAUUGGGUUUAAAGGGAGCGUAGACGGGAUGUUAAGUCAGUUGUGAAAUGCUGUGGCUCAACCAUAGCACUGCAGUUGAUACUGGCGUUCUUGAGUGCGUAUGAGGUACGUGGAAUUCGUGGUGUAGCGGUGAAAUGCUUAGAUAUCACGAAGAACUCCUAUUGCGAAGGCAGCGUACCAAUCCGUAACUGACGUUGAGGCUCGAAAGUGUGGUAUCAAACAGGAUUAGAUACCCUGGUAGUCCACACGGUAAACGAUGGAUACUCGCUGUUGGCGAUAUACUGUCAGCGGCCAAGUGAAAACGUUAAGUAUCCCACCUGGGGAGUACGCCGGCAACGGUGAAACUCAAAGGAAUUGACGGGGGCCCGCACAAGCGGAGGAACAUGUGGUUUAAUUCGAUGAUACGCGAGGAACCUUACCCGGGCUUGAACUGCGGUGGACCGGUCCAGAGAUGGGCUUUCCCUUCGGGGCCGCCGUGGAGGUGCUGCAUGGUUGUCGUCAGCUCGUGCCGUGAGGUGUCGGCUUAAGUGCCAUAACGAGCGCAACCCUUUCCGUCAGUUGCCAUCAGGUAAUGCUGGGGACUCUGUCGGUACUGCCAUCGUAAGAUGUGAGGAAGGUGGGGAUGACGUCAAAUCAGCACGGCCCUUACGUCCGGGGCUACACACGUGUUACAAUGGGGGGUACAGAGGGCUGCCACUCGGUGACGAGGCGCCAAUCCCGAAAACCUCUCUCAGUUCGGACUGGAGUCUGCAACCCGACUCCACGAAGCUGGAUUCGCUAGUAAUCGCGCAUCAGCCAUGGCGCGGUGAAUACGUUCCCGGGCC